GAGACAGGGUCUCAUCACUGUUACCUAGGCUAGAGUGCAGUGGCAUGAUCUCUGCUCACUACAAUCUCUGCCGCCCAUCCCCCCAGACUCAAGCCAUCCUCUGACCUGAGCCUCCUGAGUAGCUGAGACUGGAUUUGUGAUGUUUCCUCAUGGCACUUUUAUUUUUAUUGUGAUCAAGUGUAUUUCUUCCAGGGGAUGAGUGAGUUUUGGAUGUGUUAACAGGAAACCCCAAAUCUGAGUGUUUCCUGAUCAUCAAAAGAUGAAGUUCCAGCAAAAGUACAAUCCUUUGUUAUCACAAAGUUUUCAUUUCUAUGAGCCAAGGGUCUCAUCCUGGAGACACAGGAGUUAGGGUGCAAAGAAGGGGUUACUCACAGAGACGGGUAGCCUGCUGGCCCUAAGUGGCCUCCCUGGUUAGAAAUUGCUACAUUGGGGAACAAAUACUUUCUGCUUAAAAUCCAGCCAUUUUCUGGCAACUUUCUAGGCUCCUUUAAAUCGGGUUAAAUUAUGUCAUGGUUUGGUAUGAUUCACUCAGCAAAUGUUCUGAGCUCCUGCUCUGUGCCAGGCCCUUUGCCCUGAACAAGGACAGCAGCAUUUUUAGGAGGAAAGUCUGACUUCAUAAGGUCUGAGUAGCACAGCCUUCCGUGAAGGUGACUGGCAACAAAACCAGCUUUCUCAACAAUCCCACCUCGCCUGUCUCAGGACCACGUCAGGGGCAUUCGCCUCCCCUCUGGGAGGGAGCGGCGGCCAGUGGAAACAUCUUUCCGCUUUAACAUUUUUAAAAGCAUAUUUUAAUUGACAAGUAGUUGUACUGAUCAUGUCCAUUUUUUGUUUUCGACAGAGUCUCACUCUGUCACCCAGGCUGAAGUACAGUAGCAUGAUCUUGGCUCACUGCAACCUCUGCCCCUCAAGUUCAAGUGAUUCUCCUGCCUCAACCGCUUGAGUAGCUGGGAUUACAGGCAUGCACCACCAUGACCAGCUAAGUUUUGUAUUUUAGUAGAAAUGGAGUUUCAUCAUGUUGGCCAGGCUGGUCUCGAACUCCUGACAAGUGAUCCACCCGACUCAGCCUCCUAAAGUGCUGGUAUUACAGGUGUGAGCCACCGCACCCUGCCAAUGUUUUGAGAUGUAUACGUUGUGGAAUAGCAAAGUCGAGCUAGCUAACACAUACAUCACCUCUUUUUUUUUUUUUUUUGUGGUGAGAACACAAUCUACUCUUAGCAAUUUUCACAUUGUUAUUAACUACAGUCACCAUGUUGUAAAGUUCUUGAACUUAUUCUUCGUAGCUGAAAUUUUGUAUCCUUUCACAAACAUUUCCCAACUUUUUCCCCUUGUUUUCUUUGAAAAUAAUCUUCUAGGUGUUUUUGAUACAUAUAAGAUAAAUUUAAUGUUCUGAGAGGACUGCUUAUAGACUGAUGAGGGGAUAUAAUAGUUUGAAUGCUUGUCCCUUCCAGAACUCCUGUUGAAAUUUAAUUGUCAGGCUGGGCCGGGCACCGUGGCUCACACCUGUAAUCCUAGAAUUUUGGGAGGCUGAGGCAGAUGGAUCAUCUGAGGUCAGGAGUUCCAGACCAGCCUGGCCAACAUGGUGAAAUCCCAUCUGUACUAAAUAUACAAAAAUUAGCUGGGCAUGGAGGUGCACACUUGCAAUCUCAGCUACUUGGGAGGCUGAGGUGGGAGAAUUGCUUGAACCUGAGAGGCAAAGGUUGCAGUGAACUGAGAUCUUGCCACUACACUCCAGCCUGUACAAUAGAGCAAGACUGUCUCAAAAAGAAAAAAAAAAAA
rnacentral:lncRNA from 1 species